CUCACACAUGCAAACCAGACGGCACUUCCUCCCUAAAUGCCUCUCCUAUGCGUUUUGAGCUUGAAAUAAAUUCCAGUAUGAAUUCAUCCAGUCAUUAUCAUGAGCAGGAUUGACAUUAGAAAUGCCGAGAGAGCAACAACUGAAUUGUGAUUUAUCACCAGAGAGAAUAUGUGUCAAGGUUUAUGAAAUGUUUUUGUUUUUGUUUUUUUUAAUCAUUUGUAUUAUUAGUUUACACAAAAUGGCAUAAAGGAGGACAGACUGGCAACAGUCACAACAGUAGGAAUAUCUUCUUUAUUUUGGUUAUUUGUUUGCAUUUUUGUUUUGGUCUGGGGAGGGAAAGCAGACAUAACAUUAGUCACAAAUUGAAUCCUGCAGAGAAAAUGGAAAAACGCCAGAGGUCCGCUCAUAAUGGAAGCAGCCAUCAGGUGGUCCUGACAAGCUGCUACCUGUGUCUUUGUCUUGCUGUCUGCUCGAUGGGGUCGUCUAAUGACCAAUGCUAAUUUUAGCCGAUACAGGUCUCUCUUCUCUCUAGUCAUGAUCAGUGACUAUUUGCAUGAGGAGCAGAGCAAGCGCGACACAAUCUGGGCAAAUGCUUUAACAUUUGAGAUUUUACUAAUUUAAAACUAAGGGAGUUGACAUUUCAAACUGGCUUUAGCUUGUAACGCUACUCGCGCCAAUCGUGUCUAGAAGUAAUUCAUGUAAAUGACAAACGCUUCAUGCAUAUGCAUGAGCUUUACUCAAAUAUUUAGCCUUCUGUUACCUGCUGAAUUCACUACAACCUUUUACGAGUUUGAAAUAUUCCUAAGGCAAAUACUAUUUGACCUCAGGUGGCAAAACGGCUCACUUUUGUAACCCAAAAGUUGCAUAGAAUAUGACCGUACGUGAUGCCUGUCAGGUACAAUUCCCUGUUGCUGUGUGAAGGAGAACAUUUGACGUAUCUGAAGUAAAUGGGUUUUCUUAUGAGUAACUUCUUAAACAUUUUAUUUAUAUACUAUCAUCAUGGUUAAAAAUGGCUGCUUUGCUGCAGCAGCAACUUCUGCAUGGAAGAGUGAUUUUGUUGGCACAACCUAGUUUCCUUUGGGCAUGGUGCUUUCAUUGACUUCAUAAAAAUCUGAUUUUUGUUUGUUCGGAUUUUAAAAACAAUCACUGAUUUUAUUUUUAUUUUAUUUUUUAAACUAAACACCAAGCUGCUUAGUGUUUAAAUGUUUAAAUCUUGAAGACAAAGGAGAAUGAAACGGUCACUUAUUGAAACUUGUUUUAAGCAAGGCGUGGCAAGUACAGCGCAUCAGUAGCAAAACUAUUUAUAAAGCUUUAAAUGGUGAAAGCCUCAUACAAGCGUUACAUUGCAGUGGCUGACAUUUUAAGGAGAUCGCACAUGAUAAUUCAACAUUUAGAGCUGUUGAUUCAGACUUUUAAAAACUGUAAGCAGCUGCAUGCUCAAGAUGUGUGCAGAAAGGAUGUAGACUGACCCAGAGGAAGAGCCUCGCUUCCUAUGACUCUUUAGUUUACACCCCAGCUGUGAGUCUGAGCGGAACGGAAGGAGAAGAGGCCAGCAGAAAAGGAGCACCAGUUUGCCUCUUCUCUGCCUUCUCCAAUGUGAAUUUACCAUCUCGGCCAUUUGCCCAGUGUCUCAGGCUUUCCUUAGAGAAGCUCUCUUUAAAGCAGGCUUGGUUUCACUAGUCAUUUCCUUAAUCUGACAAUGACUUGAAUGACAUGAGCAUGAUGAUAUUCCAGAUGCUCUUGCACAAGUUUAUUAAAGUCGAUGUCGCCCGUGGUCCUUCAAGAGGAAAUUAAAUUUGAUGAAAAUCGGCGCUGGAGUUAUCCUCUCAAAAGGCAGCAGCAUGAUUCAGAUGCCCCAGCUCCUUCCCUUGGAAAAGAAGCCGUCUUUUAUGCGUUGGCUAACUCAACCAAAGGCAAAGUCAGUCACCGUCCCGACCGACUCUCUGCAGCUGACGCACAUCAAGCGUCGACGAUGCAGGACAAAAAAAAAAAAAAAAAAAACGGAUAUUCCCUUAAUUUACACAUCGAGGCUCGACUCCACGUAUAAUUACAGCUUGCUGUGAACUUGUUUGGUAACCUAGAGUGCUGCUGAUAAGAACAUGCAGCCUUAAAUUACCUGAGAAGAGCUAAAUUGUUGAGCAUAUUUAUAGCUUUCCGUUUGUUUUUGCUCCCAGUUUCUUAAGGAAUUCAGGAAGAGUCGGACACAGCUGGAUCUCUUUAUCUCUUGUCUCACUCUGACUCUCAGAAUGCUUUCUUUCCACUCGGCUCUGUGCCCAGACAGCGACAUUGCCCCCCUCCCCCCUUACCCCACUCCCAGCCUCCCCCCUCUCAUCUAACCCCUUUCCUCAAACUCAACCCCUGUGACUUGGAGUGAAAUAUGCAGGUCUAAAAAUAUUAAUCUACUUUAUCCAAACAGCAAAAAAAAAAAAAAGAAAGAAAGAAAACUGCUGUUCUUGGACCAGGAGUGGCAGGCCGUCCCCUCCCCAGAGCUAUUUCUCCUGUUCCUGAGAAACUUGGAGGUUGAACAGAGGAUUAUAUAGUCUGUCAAACCAAUUCUUAUGCACUUCAUUUCAGCUUCAAGCUUUUCCAUUUAGCUUACUAACUUUAGAAGAUAGAAAGUCCUUCAGUUUAAAAAAAAAUGUUUUUUAAACUUCUGUUGAGAUGCAACAAUCAGAUUUGUUACCAGCUUUCACUUUUUUCUUCCCCUCAAGAAUCUUGCAUGCUUUAAUUUUAUUCCCCUUCUAAUCGGAAUGGUUUUGGUUCCGAUUCCUUUUUGGGGCCAGUCGACUCUUUUUAUGUAUAACUCAUUAUGACCCUCUGAUGAAAAGAGUGCCUGUGAGCGACCUUCUGCAAGUUGAUGAGAUUUACUGGAGUCGUAAUCAUUUCACGUACAGCAGAUGGAGGUGAAUAUAGAAAAUCUUGUUGAGUAGGUUCUAAAUCUGUAGGUUUUCCCUUGGAAAAGAAGACAUCGGGUCAUGUUGGCUGUCCAUUCACAAUGCUAAUUCAGAUUAAUUGUAAGUGGCUUUGGUUCUAAUCUUCAAGCGUCCAAUUCAUACUGAAAAUGGUUUCCUUCAGUAACCACUUAAGCACUGAAUUAUGUUUGCACCACCUGACCCUGGUAACACUUAAUUAUGGUGCAUUUACUGGUUUUUAAUAAAAAUCUGAUUUGAGUUUCCAGUCCAGCUAAUUUCUCCAUCUCUACUUUUUAGCCUUCAUUGUCUUUGAUGUAAAAAAAAAAAAAAAAAAAGACAUUCUGUGUU